GUAAACAUAACUUAAAUAAAGUAUUAGAUUGUGAAUCUAAAGAUAGAGACUAACCCCUCUUGUUUACC
rnacentral:tRNA from 1 species